UAUGAAAUGCCAGAUUAAUGGGUUAUUUUGAUAAGGUAAUUAUGAGGCGUAUUAACCUCUUUCAUAU
rnacentral:tRNA from 1 species